GGGGGAGGAGGGCGUUUUGCAGUGCGCAGGUCUCCCAUGGGUUUCCACAGAGGCAGCAGUCUCUCUUAAACUCGUAGAUCUCAAUACACCAGGGUCAGCCUCUUCUCCGGAGCUGGUGUGGUGUUCUGGCUGCUUUCCACCAUGGUUUUCUCCGCUGUUUCAGACCCGGUCUUCCUCCUUGACCGCCUCUGCAGUGUGAGUCGGCCACGAUGUUCCAACUGAGCUGAACCACACUCUGGACCAGGGGGACCAAGAGCCCACACACAUUAAAGACCAGGGGGAGCAGCUUCAAGGACUGGCGAGGGCUGAUAUAUCCAAGAGCAAAGAUGAUGAAGAGAAACCUCAGUCCUUACAGCAUCAUCAAAGCCAAACUGAUGAGAGCAGAGAGGCAGAGCCUCCAGCCAGCAACCCAGCUCAACAAAUGGAAACAACAGCUGAUGAAGAGGACUGUGGAGGACCAGAGGCAGCCAGGAACACAGAUCCACAUGGUCAUCUAUUAUCAUCUGCUAACAAGAGAAAGAAAUCAUGGGAUUGCAGUGUUUGUGAGAAAAGACUCAAGAAUGAGAGCCUUUUGAGGAGACACAUGAGAGUCCAUCCAGAAGAAAAACCAUUUGGUUGCAAUAUUUGUGGGAAAAGAUUCAGCCAAAAAGAUAACAUGAAGGUACACAUGAGAGUCCAUACAGGACAAAAAAACGUUUGGUUGCAGCAUUUGUGAGAAAAGAUUCACAACACAGCAAUAUCUCAAGAUACACAUCAGGGCCCAUAGUGGACAGAAAGUGUGGAGUUGCAGUGUUUGUGGCUAAAGAUUUGCUUACUAUUCUAGCAGCAUACACUAUAUAAAGAAAUAGGAGUGAAAUCUAUUAAAAUGCAUUGCAAAAUAAGACUGGCCUUGUGAUUUUUGGUGUUGCUGUAGCUGUGUUGCUCUUUGAUUUGAUUGUUUUAUUAUCAGUGGUCUUGUUUAAUCAGAGUUGUGUCCCGUAUCCAGUGAUACGAGGGGAGAUUUUACAACAACUGUAAGAAGGCAUGGUAACUCACAGCAACAAAGUCGACAGACAGCAUCAUCUGCAUCCUGCCAUUCUCCAUCGUUCUCGCAAUGGCCUUCUUGUGCAUCACAGCACUGCCGGCCAGCAUCCAGAACUUCACAUUUAACUCAAACUCAGCUUUAGUCAGCUGAGUUUUUUCUGUGAAAGUGACCUCUUUUAAGCCCCCAAAACAUAUAAUAAUCUGUGAUUUGAUUAGUAAAAUAAUACUAAUUCCUGUGCUACAUCUCAGAGGGAAAUACACUCUUUACUUCACUACGUUUAUCUGACAGCUUUAGUUUUAGUUACUUUACAAUUUCUGUUGUUUACACAUUCAUGGGACAUUUUUUCUACUUUAACUACAGUUUCCUGAUUAUGCUUACA